rnacentral:misc_RNA from 1 species
UCAACCAGGUAGCAUCAUUAACAACGUCGGCCUCGUACGUAGCAUAAAAUGCUAGUAUGGCACGACAGUCACAAACGCUUCAAGCAUUAAAUGCUUCUUUAAGGGGCAAGUAUCCGAUAUCCCACCGAGUUACCCUCGCGGCAUUCAAAAUCCGAGAACACGAGCCAAUACCCCGCAAACCAAGCCACUGGCCAUAAGAGGAGCCACACUAGUGUGGUUAGACUGCAGGGACAGCUUUAUCGUCCAUCUUUAAAAAGCCCAAAAGUUUCAUAUGAUGGAGGGACAAAGUACGAUUGCUAGUUCCACCAUGCUAGGUAGGAAACACAAGGACCACGUAGCCCAACGCAUAAAUGUGCUUGAAGCCAUAGUGACAACACGCGUCAAUGAUUCCCCCUACAUAGACGGGGAAGC